UCCAGAUCUGGCUCUGAUGUCCCCCAAC
rnacentral:piRNA from 1 species